rnacentral:rRNA from 1 species
UAAAGUGGUACGCGAGCUGGGUUCAGAACGUCGUGAGACAGUUCGGUCCCUAUCUACUGUGGGCGCAGGAAAUUUGAGAGGGUCUGACCUUAGUACGAGAGGACCGGGUUGGACGCACCAAUGGUGUACCUAUUGUCGCGCCAGCGGCACCGUAGGGUAGCUAUGUGCGGAAGGGAUAACCGCUGAAAGCAUCUAAGUGGGAAGCCCGCCUCAAGAUUAGAUUUCCCUGACGCAAGUCCUAAAGAUCCGUUCUAGACCAGGACGUUGAUAGGCUGGAGGUGGAAGUGUGGUAACACAUGGAGCUGACCAGUACUAAUCGAUCGUGAGGCUUAUUCAU